rnacentral:rRNA from 1 species
UCGUUAAGUGAAUACAUAGCUUAGCAGGGAACCCGGGGAACUGAAACAUCUAAGUACCCGGAGGAAAAGAAAGAAAUUCGAUUCCGUAAGUAGCGGCGAGCGUAACGCGGAAUAGCCCAAACCAGUGAAGUUUUCUUCGCUGGGGUUGCGGACACAUAACAUGAGAAGAUAUCGUAAACGAAGAGAGUUGGAAAGCUCCGCUAUAAAGUGUAAUAGCCACGUAGUUGAAACGAAACAAUUCUUUAGAUAUGAUCCAGAGUACCACGGGACACGUGAAACCCUGUGGGAAGCAGGAGGGACCAUCCUCCAAGGCUAAAUACUACUUA